AGGUAAGCUACUAAGAGCGAAUGGUGGAUGCCUUGACUGGUAAAGGCGAUGAAGGACGUACUAGACUGCGAUAAGCUACGGGGAGCUGUCAAGAAGCUUUGAUCCGUAGAUUUCCGAAUGGGGCAACCCAAUGUAUAGAGAUAUACAUUACCUAUAUAGGAGCGAACGAGGGGAAUUGAAACAUCUUAGUACCCUCAGGAAAAGAAAUCAAUAGAGAUUGCGUCAGUAGCGGCGAGCGAAAGCGCAAGAGGGCAAACCCAGUGCUUGCACUGGGGGUUGUAGGACUGCAAUGUGCAAGAGGUAAGUUUAGCAGAACAUUCUGGAAAGUAUAACCAUAGAGGGUGAUAGUCCCGUAUGCGAAAAACAAACCUUAGCUAGCAGUAUCCUGAGUAGGGCGGGACACGAGGAAUCCUGUCUGAAUCCGGGUCGACCACGAUCCAACCCUAAAUACUAAUACCAGAUCGAUAGUGCACAAGUACCGUGAGGGAAAGGUGAAAAGAACUGAGGUGAUCAGAGUGAAAUAGAACCUGAAACCAUUUGCUUACAAUCAUUCAGAGCCCUAUGUAGCAAUACAGGGUGAUGGACUGCCUUUUGCAUAAUGAGCCUGCGAGUUGUGGUGUCUGGCAAGGUUAAGCAAACGCGAAGCCGUAGCGAAAGCGAGUCUGAAUAGGGCGCUUAGUCAGAUGCUGCAGACCCGAAACGAAGUGAUCUAUCCAUGAGCAAGUUGAAGCUAGUGUAAGAACUAGUGGAGGACUGAACCCAUAGGCGUUGAAAAGCCCCGGGAUGACUUGUGGAUAGGGGUGAAAGGCCAAUCAAACUUCGUGAUAGCUGGUUCUCUCCGAAAUAUAUUUAGGUAUAGCGUUGUGUCGUAAUAUAAGGGGGUAGAGCACUGAAUGGGCUAGGGCAUACACCAAUGUACCAAACCCUAUCAAACUCCGAAUACCUUAUAUGUAAUCACAGCAGUCAGGCGGCGAGUGAUAAAAUCCGUCGUCAAGAGGGAAACAACCCAGACUACCAGCUAAGGUCCCUAAGUCUUACUUAAGUGGAAAACGAUGUGAAGUUACUUAAACAACCAGGAGGUUGGCUUAGAAGCAGCCAUCCUUUAAAGAAAGCGUAAUAGCUCACUGGUCUAGUGAUUUUGCGCGGAAAAUAUAACGGGGCUAAAGUAAGUACCGAAGCUGUAGACUUAGUUUACUAAGUGGUAGGAGAGCGUUCUAUUUGCGUCGAAGGUAUACCGGUAAGGAGUGCUGGAGCGAAUAGAAGUGAGCAUGCAGGCAUGAGUAGCGAUAAUUAAUGUGAGAAUCAUUAACGCCGUAAACCCAAGGUUUCCUACGCGAUGCUCGUCAUCGUAGGGUUAGUCGGGUCCUAAGUCGAGUCCGAAAGGGGUAGACGAUGGCAAAUUGG
rnacentral:rRNA from 1 species